ensembl:lncRNA
GAUGCUUUACAUAUGUGUGCCAAUUUUCGUGCAUGUACGUGAAACACAGCUCGAGGGCUGUUGAUUUUUUUACGAUAGGUGGCGCUGUCGAGCCAUUUUGCCACACCCUCUUCUGAAACCUAUAUCAGACGUAAAUUUUCACCAGGUCUGACGCGUGUGCAAAGUUUCAGGACUUUUCGAGCAUGUUUAGGCCCUCAAAAAUGCGAUUCAUUUUGGAGAAGAAGAAGAAGAAGAAGAAGAAGAAGAAGAAGAAGAAGAAGAAUAAACGAAGCAGAUACAAGAGGGUCCUCACACCAUCGGUGCUCGGGCCCUAAUAAU